GCAAAAUAGUGCUGUAUCAGUGCAUAAACACAAAUGAAAUGUCUCCAAAGUUGUGCUCACAUUAUAAAAUCAGAGACACUGAUUAUCUUAACUAGCCUUUCGGAGAACCAUACCAUUUAACUCUUGAGUCUUUCCUCUGUACACAGGGCUAGGAUUACGCAUGUUAUUUGUAACUUUGUUAAUAUUCUAAAUACGCUCAACAAUAAUUUUGCCUAAUGCUCUUACAGUUCAUCUCAUAGAUUGAAGUCCCCAUGUUAACAAGUACACAACACUAUGGGUAUUUAAAAGUAAUU